GUUGAACGCUGGCGGCAGGCUUAACACAUGCAAGUCGAGCGGGGUGAUGGUGCUUGCACUAUCACUUAGCGGCGGACGGGUGAGUAAUGCUUAGGAAUCUGCCUAUUAGUGGGGGACAACAUCUCGAAAGGGAUGCUAAUACCGCAUACGUCCUACGAGAGAAAGCAGGGGAUCACUUGUGACCUUGCGCUAAUAGAUGAGCCUAAGUCGGAUUAGCUAGUUGGUGGGGUAAAGGCCUACCAAGGCGACGAUCUGUAGCGGGUCUGAGAGGAUGAUCCGCCACACUGGGACUGAGACACGGCCCAGACUCCUACGGGAGGCAGCAGUGGGGAAUAUUGGACAAUGGGGGGAACCCUGAUCCAGCCAUGCCGCGUGUGUGAAGAAGGCCUUAUGGUUGUAAAGCACUUUAAGCGAGGAGGAGGCUCUUUUGGUUAAUACCCAGAAUGAGUGGACGUUACUCGCAGAAUAAGCACCGGCUAACUCUGUGCCAGCCGCCGCAGUAACAC
rnacentral:rRNA from 1 species